rnacentral:rRNA from 1 species
GAUGAACGCUGGCGGCGUGCCUAAUACAUGCAAGUCGAGCGAACAGACGAGGAGCUUGCUCCUCUGACUUUAUCACCGGACGGAUCGUUAACACGUGUAUAACCUACCUAUAAGACUGGGGUAACUUCGGGAGACCGGAGCUAAUACCGGAUAAUAUAUUGAACCGCAUUGUUCAAGAGUGAGAUACGGUUUUUCUGUCACUUAUAGAUUGAUCCGCCCCGCAUUAGCUAGUGGGUAAGGUAACUGCUUACCAACGCUACGAUGCGUAGACGCCCCGAACGGGUGGUCGGCUAGCUGGGAAGUGAGACAGGGUCGCGACUCCUACGGGAGGCAGCAGCAGGGACUCCUACGGAAUGGAGGAAAGGCUGAUGGAGGAAAGUCGCGUGAGUGAUGAAGGUGCUAGGCCGGUAAAACUCUGUUAUUCGGAAAGAAGAAAUGCGUAAGCAACUAUGAACGUCUUGACGGUACCAACUGAGAAAGCCACGGCUAACUCCGUG